rnacentral:rRNA from 1 species
UAACGCGUGAGUAACCUGCCUUGGAGUGGGGAAUAACAGCUGGAAACAGCUGCUAAUACCACAUAAUGCAGUUGGGUCGCAUGGCUCUGACUGCCAAAGAUUUAUCGCUCUGAGAUGGACUCGCGUCUGAUUAGCUAGUUGGCGGGGUAACGGCCCACCAAGGCGACGAUUAGUAGCCGGACUGAGAGGUUGGCCGGCCACAUUGGGACUGAGACACGGCCCAGACUCCUACGGGAGGCAGCAG